AACGAACGCUGGCGGCGUGCCUAACACAUGCAAGUCGAACGUGAUUGAAGAGCUUGCUCUUCAUGAAAGUGGCGCACGGGUGAGUAACGCGUAGGUAAUCUACCUGAUGAUUUGGGAUAACACUUCGAAAGGGGUGCUAAUACGGGAUAAGCCCACGGAGUCUUUGGACACUGCGGGAAAAGGAGGGGACCUUCGGGCCUUCCGUCAUCAGAUGAGUCUGCGUACCAUUAGCUAGUUGGUAGGGUAAAGGCCUACCAAGGCGACGAUGGUUAGCUGGUAUGAGAGGAUGAUCAGCCACACUGGAACUGAGACACGGUCCAGACUCCUACGGGAGGCAGCAGUGGGGAAUUUUGCGCAAUGGGGGAAACCCUGACGCAGCAACGCCGCGUGAGUGAUGAAGGCCCUUGGGUCGUAAAGCUCUGACAGAGGGAAAGAAAUGUGGGUGGCUAAUAUCCAUUCCACUUGACGGUACCCUCAAAGGAAGCACCGGCUAACUCCGUGCCAGCCGCCGCCGUAACAC
rnacentral:rRNA from 1 species